GGCCCAGGGUUAGGCUUGUUUUAGUGCCAGGGCCCAGGGUUAGGGUUGUUUUAGGGUCAGGGCCAGGGUCCAGGUUUAGGGUUGUUUUAGGGUCAGGGCCAGGGCCCAGGUUUAGGAUUGUUUUAGGGUCAGGGCCAGGGCCCAGGUUUACGGUUGUUUUAGGGUCAUGGCCAGGGCCAGGGUUAGGGUUGUUUUUGGGUCAGGGCCAGGGCCCAGGUUUAGGGUUGUUUUAGGGUCAGGGCCAGGGCCCAGGGUUAGGGUUGUUUUAGGGUCAGGGCCCGGGCCCAGGUUUAGGGUUGUUUUAGGGUCAGGGCCAGGGCCCAGGGUUAGGGUUGUUUUAGGGUCAGGGCCCGGGCCCAGGGUUAGGGUUGUUUUAGGGUCAGGGCCAGGGCCCAGUGUUAGGGUUCUUUUAGCGUCAGGGCCAGGGCCCAGGGUUAGGGUUGUUUUAGGGUCAGGGCCAGGGCCGAGAGUUAGGCUUGUUUUAGGGUCAGGGCCAAGGCCCAGGGUUAGGGUUGUUUUAGGGAAAGGGCCAGGGCCCAGGGUUAGGAUUGUUUUAGGGUCAGGGCCAGGGCCCAGGUUUAGGCAUGUUUCAGGUUCAGGUCCAGGGCCAGGGUUAGGGUUGUUUUAGGUUCACGGCCGGGGCCCAGUGUUAGGGUUGUUUUAGGGUCAGGUCCGGGGCCCAGUGUUAGGGUUGCUUUAGGGUCAGGGCCGGGGCCCAGGUUUAGGGUUGUUUAAGGUCAGGGCCGGGACCCAGGUUUGGGGUUUUAGGCUCAGGGCCAGGGCCUAGUGUUAGGGUAUUAGUGUCAGGGCCCAGGGUUAGGGUUUUAGGGUCAGGGCCCAGGGUUAGGGUUUUAGGGUCAGGGCCCAGGGUUAGGGUGAUUUCCAGGAAGUGACCUCACAAUGACUCAAGCUACCACUUACUGUUGAUUGUGACGAAAUGCCAGCUGAGGCACAUGCCUUGGGAGCUAAGUGGUUGCUGCCCUUGACUACUAUGAAGACUGGUGUGGGAAGGGUCGCUUUGCAUGCACUUGAGCUGGGGUCCCCAACCCCUGAGCCAUGGAGCCGUAAGGAGCCACACAGCAGGUGAGUGGUGUCGAGUGAGGGAGUGAGGGAAGCUUCGUCUGUAUUUACAGCCACUCCCCUUUGCUCACAUUCCCGCCUGAGCUCCACCUUCUCAGAUGAGCAGCAGCAUUAGAUUCUCAUAGGAGAACGCACCCUGUUGUGAACCGUGCAUGUGAGGGAUCUAGGUUGCGCUGUGCUUAUGAGAAUCUAAUACCUAUUGAUCUGUCACUUUCUCCCAUCACGCUCAGGUGGGACCAUCCAGUUUCAGGAAAACAAGCUUAACACGCCCACUGAUUCUACAUUAUGCUCCUUCCUCCCGGCAGCCUCGCCAGGCCCAGAACUCUCUCCAGUCAGCCUCUACAGACCAAGCUCAUGACUCACAAUGGCCUAUUUAGGCCCAUACCCUACCUCACGGCAGUCUCCGCAGAUGAGCCUACUGCCUCACAACAGCCUCCACAGGCACAGCUCCAUCGUUACAAUGGCCUCUUUAGACCCAGCUCCUGCCGCCCAGCCUUCUCUCCAGGCCCUGAACUUUCUCCGUAAGUUGAGGUAGCUGGGACUGUAGGUAUACAUGACGAUACUUGUCUACUUUUUAAAUUGUUUUGCAGACAUGGGGUCUCACUUUGUUGGCCAGGCUGGUGUCAAACUAAUGGCCUCAAGUGACCCUUCCACCCCUGCCUCCCAUCCUCGAGGUAUGUGCCACCACAAGGGGCACUUGUUCAAUUUUCUAAAGAAAAAAUUUCUAAAGUAAGGCUGUGGGAUGAUGGCAGGAAGAUAAAAGAAAAACAGAAGAAUAAGUUAAAAUGACUUAUUCACACAUAUUCUUUUGACAGCAGGAAGAACUUUUAGUAUAUACAUUCCUUACAAACAAACAAACGGCAGAUAAACAAUGUUGUAUAGGAACUUCAACACACACUGUACAAUAUUCCCACUUUGCUGACAUAAGUUAUGGAAAUUUCGUGGUUUACUUGAGUGUCGCUACCAGUAUUUUGCUUCUCUGAUGAUUUUUAUCAACUUCCUCAUCUGUUAACUUCUCUCCAAGGUAUGUCAUGUCACGACAUGCUGCCGCUGCACGAACACGGCCAGUGUCUUCCUAUUAAACAUGUAGAAUGCUUUCCUAA